CAAUCAUUUAGAACGUCGGUCUACCGAACAAUUUCAUUCGCUCGGUAGAAAAUCUUCCCUUUGUCCA
rnacentral:pre_miRNA from 1 species